UACGUAGGGUGCGAGCGUUAAUCGGAUUUACUGGGCGUAAAGCGUGCGCAGGCGGCCCGUUAAGACAGGUGUGAAAUCCCUGGGCUCAACCUAGGAAUUGCGCUUGUGACUGGCGGGCUCGAGUACUGUAGAGGGGGGUGGAAUUCCUGGUGUAGCAGUGAAAUGCGUAGAGAUCAGGAGGAACACCGAUGGCGAAGGCAGCCCCCUGGGCCUGUACUGACGCUCAUGCACGAAAGCGUGGGGAGCAAACAGG
rnacentral:rRNA from 1 species